ACAUCUUCACUCUAACACCUCCCUUAGGCUGAAUAUUAGUAGAACACAAGUUAAAAUCUUCAUCUUGUGUUAACCCAAGACUAAACGAUGGUAGUUCAUCGGAAAUUAAAUUCAUCGAUUGAAUACCUUUAAUGGAACUACUACGAUUUGCAUGUUGUGGCAUUAUAGCGAAACUCCGAAAAAUUUCAACACGCACACAAAAAAAACUAAUAAACAAAAUCGGCAA
rnacentral:lncRNA from 1 species